AUGAGUUGGUUGGUAUGGAGAUGAGUUGGUUGGUUUGGAGAUAAGUUGGUUGGUUUGGAGAUGAGUUGGUUGGUAUGGAGAUGAGUUGGUUGGUAUGGAGAUGAUUUCGGUAUGGAGAUGAUUUGGUCGUCCUUAGUCCUUAGUCCGUAGUUCUUAGUUCGUAGUCCGUAGGUUCUUGGUUCGUAGUCCGUAGUCCGUAGGUUCUUAGUUCUUGGUUCGUAUAAGUGAUUAUGUGCAUACCUUCACUAAUUUCUCUCCUCUCUUGUCUCUAUGCCCCUGUCCCUCUUGGAUUACUUUUCCAGGGCCCGGAAUUGCUGUGGGUCAGGAGGUUGGGUGACUGAUUGUGCGUGAGGAGUGGUGAGAGUAUGUGUAUGGGGGGGGGGUUCUAGUUGAUCCGGUAGGAGUGUUGAUGUAACUGGUGUUGGUUGAGGGGAUUGGUAGGGCUUAUGUGUUUUGGGGUUUGUUAUUUUUGAUACCAUAAGUGCAGAAUCCCACUUGGGUGGGCUUCUGUCUUAAGGGGGGGGAUGUGACGACCCUGGUGAGUCUUUGACUCCACCCUUUGCUUUGACUCCACCCUGGCUGUUUGGUUUGCCUGUUUUCCCUCUCUCUUAAUAGGUGAUGCAGUUCAGGUGUGCCGGGUUUGGCAGCAGGUUAAAAGCCUGCAGUUGCAGCAGUCAAGGGCGCUCCCUCCUCCCGGCGUGUUGGUUUUCGUUGUCCUUUGUUUGGUUACACAUAGACUGACUUUGCAUGACACUUUUGGGUUACUUACAUUUAACUGAUUUACACCAC
ensembl:lncRNA